CAAUAGCGUAUAUUUAAGUUGUUGCAGUUAAAAAGCUCGUAGUUGGAUUUCGGAUGGGACUUGCCGGUCCGUCGUUUCGAUGUGCACUGGCCAGUCCUAUCUUGUUGUCGGGGACUAGCUCCUGGGCUUCACUGUCCGGGACUAGGAGCUGACGAGGUUACUUUGAGCAAAUUAGAGUGUUCAAAGCAAGCCUACGCUCUGAAUACAUUAGCAUGGAAUAACACGAUAGGACUCUGGCUUAUCUUGUUGGUCUGUGAGACCAGAGUAAUGAUUAAGAGGGACAGUCGGGGGCAUUCGUAUUUCAUUGUCAGAGGUGAAAUUCUUGGAUUUAUGAAAGACGAACUUCUGCGAAAGCAUUUGUCAAGGAUGUUUUCAUUAA
rnacentral:rRNA from 1 species